AACGAACGCUGGCGGCAUGCCUAACACAUGCAAGUCGAACGAAACCUUCGGGUCUAGUGGCGCACGGGUGCGUAACGCGUGGGAACCUGCCCUUAGGUUCGGAAUAACUCCCCGAAAGGGGUGCUAAUACCGGUUAAGGUCUUCGGACCAAAGAUUUAUCGCCUUUGGAUGGGCCCGCGUUGGAUUAGCUAGUUGGUAGGGUAAAAGCCUACCAAGGCGACGAUCCAUAGCUGGUCUGAGAGGAUGGUCAGCCACACUGGGACUGAGACACGGCCCAGACUCCUACGGGAGGCAGCAGUGGGGAAUAUUGGACAAUGAGCGAAAGCCUGAUCAAGCAAUGCCGCGUGAGUGAUGAAGGCCUUAGGGUUGUAAAGCUCUUUUACCCGGGAUGAGAAUGACAGUACCGGGAGAAUAAGCUCCGGCUAACUCCGUG
rnacentral:rRNA from 1 species